rnacentral:misc_RNA from 1 species
AAGUCGUAACAAGGUUUCCGUAGGUGAACCUGCGGAAGGAUCAUUACAAGAAACGAGGCCCCGUGCCCCGCUCUUUACCUUGCCUACUGUACUAUCUGUUGCUUCCUGGCGGCUGUCUGCCUGCCGCCAGGGACAUUGCAAAGCCCAUGUAUAAGUAUUAAAACACUGAAGCAAACCGAAUCGUACAACUUUCAACAAUGGAUCUCUUGGUUCUG